GGCGGGUUAGGCUCAGUUGGCUAGAGCGUCCGGUUCAUACCCGGAAGGUCGCGAGUUCGAAUCUCACACCCGCUACCA
rnacentral:tRNA from 1 species